rnacentral:rRNA from 1 species
CAGUAGCCGCGGGAAUGCGUAGGUGGCAAGCGUUGUCCGGAAUUAUUGGGCGUAAAGCGCGCGCAGGCGGAUAGGUCAGUCUGUCUUAAAAGUUCGGGGCUUAACCCCGUGAUGGGAUGGAAACUGCCAAUCUAGAGUAUCGGAGAGGAAAGUGGAAUUCCUAGUGUAGCGGUGAAAUGCGUAGAUAUUAGGAAGAACACCAGUGGCGAAGGCGACUUUCUGGACGAAAACUGACGCUGAGGCGCGAAAGCUAGGGGAGCGAACGGGAUUAGAUACCCCCGUAGUCCCUGUCUCUUAUACC